GAUCCUGGCUCAGGAUGAACGCUGGCGGCGUGCUUAACACAUGCAAGUCGAACGAAGCACUUUAUUUGAUUUCCUUCGGAACUGAUUAUUUUGUGACUGAGUGGCGGACGGGUGAGUAACGCGUGGGUAACCUGCCUUGUACAGGGGGAUAACAGUUGGAAACGGCUGCUAAUACCGCAUAAGCGCACAGCAUCGCAUGAUGCAGUGUGAAAAAUUCCGGUGGUAUAAGAUGGACCCG
rnacentral:rRNA from 1 species